rnacentral:lncRNA from 1 species
CGAGACGGGAUCGAAACUCCUCUCCAGUCCACGAAAACGCCCAAGAAUAAGUUGUGGCUCUCAACUUGAGUGUGCAGCACAAUCACGUGCAGAGCUUGGUCAGCUGAUUGCUGGACACUACGCACAAGGAGCAUGCCUGGAUACACAGCUUAGGGACAAGAAACCUACGCUCACCAAGUGUCCACCAGCUCCUCGGCAAGGAGGGAGUAAAACGAAUUUUUUCUGCCACAACUUCUCUAGGCAUUUGUCUGGUCUUCUGCUGGAAAAUGUGGAUGUGGUUGUGAUCAUACUAGACCCUGGGAAUAAGGACAAACCUGAUGAAUGGUGAAGUGAGCAGAAAGAAAGUGGAUCCCAGAGGACUUUUCAGAGAGGAGCUUCCAGGCCAGCCCUAGGCUAUACAUCUGUGGACUUUGAAGCAAGAGAUAACUACUAUCUGUAUAAGGAACUUAGAUGGAAGCCAAAAGACCCAGCUGAUAUAUGAUGGAAUCCACGCUGCCCCCAGUGUACCACAGGAGAGGCAGAGCUGUCCUUUGCUGCUGGUGACUCAGUCCCUCCAAUGCCCCUCUUCGUCUUCCCCCUGUGUCAGGCUAUUGGAUCACUGCAGCACCCCCUGGAGCCCCGAAGCCAUGGCCUCACCACCACAGUGACGAUUUCAAAUGCCAGCUCUGGCUGAGGCUAAGGUUGCUGGCAUGAAAUCAAGUCUGCCAUUAGCACAAUGUCCAGGGAACAUUUGGGCAGCUAUCUGUCCCUCUCAGCCCAGGUACAUGGGGGUUAUGUUGAUUAAAUAAA